ensembl:lncRNA
UGACGACGUUCUGUGACUCACUUGACUAAGGCUGGAGAGCUUAACAUGGCAUACUGUACCGCAUCAAGCUACCUAAUUACCAGCAGAGCUGCUGUGGUAGUGAACCCAGCGCUGUAUAAAAUGGCCGAGGCAGGCGCUACUACCAUGUUUCCACCACAACAGCUCCCCAUCUGGGCCUUGUUGUUUGGACGCCAUUUUGGAUCCGCUUCUAAUAGGCGGGCAUACUGCAGGGGAAGCUAGGAGACAGAAUGCCCCUCAAUCAACAUUACAAGCAGCUGCUGUGAGCUUGGUGUAAGACUGCACUGCGGCCCUUUCUCCCUUUCACCUGUGGUCUCCAGGAGCAGAUGGGCACACUAACCCUUCUCCCACCACGCUUGGUGACUUUGCAGGGGCUGGAGGGAGGAGCUGCUGUAUAACCGAGCAGGGAAGCUGUGCGUGAUGUACAGGGAUCUUACUGGGAAUGAAGUAUAAAAGAGUUGUCUCUUCUGAUGUUGUGGUGAAUCUAAGCUCGUGUAGUUGCUAACAUUGGUAUAAAUAGUUGAAAUGUUUAGGAAAAUGUAGUUACUCAAUGUGGAUUAGUUAUAUAAAUGUCUUUUGGUUGCAUGUUGCCUGUGUUCUUGUGUAAAGCUUCGUGAAUUGAGCCAACUGUGUUUAAAAAUCAUGUCCUAGACUUGAACUUCAAAUGAUAAAUGUGGGCAGAGUUAUCUUUCUGUAUGUUGAGUUGUAUAGGUCACUGAUGAAAUCGAUGACAUCCAUUUUCUGUACCGCUCAUCCUAUAGGGUCGGACGGAGCCUGGAGAGUAUCCCAAGGGACACAGGGCAGGGGACACCCUGGACAGGGGGACACAGACUAUCGCAGUGCACAAUCAUACACUAGAGAUGACAAUGAGCCUACAGCACAUGUCUUUGGACUGGGGGAGGAAACCAAAGUACACGGAGAAAACCCCUGAAUCCAGGCCCAUUCUGAAGAUUUGGCACAACUCAUCUCUGGUGCAUGGAACGAGAGAUCCAGGACUUUCUCGGACCUAUCUCCCUUCCCUUACUGAAAAACGGAAUAGUGGAAUUACCAAGCCUACAUUUAGAAAGAUGCUGG